UGAACGCUGGCGGCGUGCCUAACACAUGCAAGUCGAACGAGAAAUUUUCACUUCGGUGAAAAUAGUAAAGUGGCGCACGGGUGAGUAACGCGUGAGUAACCUGCCCUUGAAUCUGGGAUAACUUCGCGAAAGCGUUGCUAAUACCGGAUACGGUUCAAUGAACCUCGGUUUAGUGAAUUAAAGAUGACCUAUCCAUGGAAGUUGUUGUUUGAGGAGGGGCUCGCGUCCCAUUAGCUUGUUGGUGGGGUAAUGGCCUACCAAGGCCGCGAUGGGUAGCUGGUCUGAGAGGAUGAUCAGCCACACUGGAACUGAAACACGGUCCAGACUCCUACGGGAGGCAGCAGUGAGGAAUUUUGCGCAAUGGGGGAAACCCUGACGCAGCAACGCCGCGUGAGUGAAGAAGGCCUUAGGGUCGUAAAGCUCUGUCAAGUGGGAAAAACGUCACAUAGUCAAUAGCUAUGUGAUUUGAUGGUACCACUAGAGGAAGCACCGGCUAACUCC
rnacentral:rRNA from 1 species